UUACAGUUGGUUGUGUGCCACCUGAC
rnacentral:piRNA from 1 species